rfam:Ixodes scapularis strain Wikel colony gcontig_1107728832330, whole genome shotgun sequence.
GCAGUCGUGGCCAAGUAAUUAAGGCGAUGGACUAGAAAUCCAGUGGGGUCUCCCCGCACAGGCUUAAAUCCUGUCGACUGCG